UCGGGAAUUUUGGGCAAUGGGCGAAAGCCUGACCCAGCAACGCCGCGUGAGGGAUGAAGUAUUUCGGUAUGUAAACCUCGAAAGAAUGGGAAGAAUAAAUGACGGUACCAUUUAUAAGCUCCGGCUAACUACGUGCCAGCAGCCGCGGUAAUACGUAGGGAGCAAGCGUUGUUCGGGUUUACUGGGCGUAAAGGGCGCGUAGGCGGCGCGGUAAGUCACUUGUGAAAUCUCUGAGCUUAACUCAGAACGGCCAAGUGAUAUUGCUGUGCUAGAGUGCGGAAGAGGCAACCGGAAUUCUUGGUGUAGCGGUGAAAUGCGUAGAUAUCAAGAGGAACACCUGAGGCGAAGGCGGGUUGCUGGGCCGACACUGACGCUGAUGCGCGAAAGCCAGGGGAGCAAACG
rnacentral:rRNA from 1 species